AAUGGGGACCAUGGUCAUACAACUGCA
rnacentral:piRNA from 1 species